rnacentral:rRNA from 1 species
AGCGAACGCUGGCGGCAGGCUUAACACAUGCAAGUCGAACGGGCUUCUUCGGAAGUCAGUGGCAGACGGGUGAGUAACACGUGGGAACGUGCCCUUCGGUUCGGAAUAACUCAGGGAAACUUGAGCUAAUACCGGAUACACCCUUUUGGGGAAAGGUUGACUGCCGAAGGAUCGGCCCGCGUCUGAUUAGCUUGUUGGUGGGGUAACGGCCUACCAAGGCGACGAUCAGUAGCUGGUCUGAGAGGAUGAUCAGCCACACUGGGACUGAGACACGGCCCAGACUCCUACGGGAGGCAGCAGUGGGGAAUAUUGGACAAUGGGCGCAAGCCUGAUCCAGCCAUGCCGCGUGAGUGAUGAAGGCCUUAGGGUUGUAAAGCUCUUUUGUCCGGGACGAUAAUGACGGUACCGGAAGAAUAAGCCCCGGCUAACUUCGUG